UUUAUAAAUAUAAUCAACUUUAUCAGUAUUCAGUGUUAAUGAUUGUUGAUUGUAAAAAAUAAUAAAUGAAAAAUUGGCAAUUGAAUUGUUUACCGUUAACAUUCUUGCUUGAAAUCGUACGACAUGGAAUGACGAAUCACAUUCGUUUUAACGUGUACAUCUCUAUGGGACUAAUUCACUGUGAUCACGAUUGUAGAUAGAACACUGGACGACGUCAGAUUGAUGGCGGUAUUUAAUCAGUAGCAGGUCUUUGCUGAAAACCAAUAAACAUGAAAGGAUCGUUUGUGUUUAAAUUGAUACCAUUCAGUAAGUUACGCGAAAAGAUGGCCAAAAUUUCCAAUAGUGUGUCAGAAAAUCGCAACCAUAUCCGUUUGAUAGCUGAGUCCAUAGCCUAUUGUGUGGUGACCGGCGGUCUAGGAUGGCUGGCAUACGAGUUUCAUGAAACUGUCUUGACCAUUGAACGUUGCGUACAAAAAGAUCCAAUGCUGUUGAACAACAAAUCACCAGAAUAUAUAUUUGCUGACAAAACUACAUUCACUGGUUGAUGAAUGGUAUCAUCGAGUACGACCAAAAGCUAACAUCACUUCCAACGUUUUUAUUGAUUCGUCACAUUUCACCGAAAAUUAUUUAUUGGAACAUAAGUUUUAUUAUCGUAUUGAUUUAUUAUGUUGCGAUUACAUCAGUAUUAUUAUAUUUGUGGCCACCGAAGACUAUUGACGUCUUUAUUGCUGUUUUUUUUAUUCGAUUAGAAUUUAUUGUAAAUGUUUCAAUUAUGUUUUUCACAUAUUUUUUCCUACAACAAUUGGAGUAUCGAUUUCAAGUAUUGAAUAAUGCAUGGAUACAUCUUCUACCUAGAUUUCUCUCCAAUUCUGGUGACUCUACACAUUUUAUUAUAGGAAUGACGCUAGAUAAAAUACGGUUGUUACACGCCGAACUAUCAGACCUAUUAAUAAUAUUCAGUGACGGUUUCGGAAAAAUGCUAUUAGGAUACUAUAUAUUCUGUUAUUAUGAUAUGAUACUUAGUUUUACUUGUAAUUUUUUUCUUUUCGAUCAACCGGAUAUCAUAGCACAAAUUUUACCGUACAUAUUCAGCGUACAAAAUAUCAUAUUUAUUUUAUCCAUUCUCAUAGCUGCAUCAAAUGUUCAUGAAAAGAAACGGAAGAUGAUAUCAAAUUUACGAUUAAUAAGGAUUUCAAAUUUAUCAGCCAACCUAAAAGUACAAAUUGGUUUAUACAGUUUUCAACAUCAUUUCUAAAUGUUUGUAAUAGGUUAAAUUAUUUAUGAACCAAAUAAUAGUUCUUGAAUCAAGCGAAAUCACAGCUUUUGGAAUUUUCAGUAUAAAUUUAAACUUUGUUGUAUCAAUACUAGUGUUACUUAUUACUGGUUUAACAACAAUGAUGCAAAUGAAGGAACAUCCAAUUAUGUUAGAAGUUAGACAAAAUUUCAAACAUUUUUUGAAGAAUGUAACUGAUGUAAAAUAACAAUUGAACUUCACUUCACUUCACCCAGAAAAGAUGAUUACUAUAGAUAAUGUCAAUUUAUUCUUGACAGAAGAUAUGAUAAGAGAAUUUAAAAAAUACCUUCCAAAACUUCAAAGAUGAGUCAUAUUGUAGUUUAAUAACCUGAACUUAUAACAAUGUUGUCGAUAAAAUAUUAAUUGAAAAUAAUCUCUUAAAAACAAGAAUUAACUUACUUGAAAUAAAAAUGAAAUAUGGAA